rnacentral:misc_RNA from 1 species
CAGCCAAAUCAAAAUUUCAAGGUGCAGAAAAAGCAACCAAGUGUCUAAUUAGGCGCUAAAUUUGAUUCAUGGACUACACCAUUCAACUGCAAUGCCUAGCUAAGAAGCAGUGAAAGAUCAGUCCAAUUACAAAUCCAUACUACAAGUCCAUGACAGCUCACUAUCAGGGCAAUAUGAUUAUGCACAUAGAAGUUUUAUCAAUUUCAUUUCAUAGCAAAAGAUAUAAAACAACAAUACAUAACCAUAAGAGCCUACCAAUAUAUCAAAGAAAAUCAUAGUCUAACAUAUCAGAACCUUUUAGGAGAAAAAACAGCAGGAAAGAAGAUGUCAGCUGGAACUUAAAUAUUUAAGCUGUAGGUGCACCACUAGUAUCCUUGACAGAUUCACGCCAAGCAUAUUCCCUUGCACCAUCUUUGUCCACAAUUUUGAUUACGAAAUUUGGUGGAGCCACAACCAGCCUUGAUCGAAUCUCUAUAAUGCAUUUGUCCACCAAAUCAAUUGCUUCUUCCACUGUCAUUCCACUGUGGUAGUGUCGAUCCAUCAUUGAAAGAGAAAAAUAUGAUCCAUAACCAAAUGCUCCCUUAUCAAUCUUGUGAAGAGUGGCAAUAUAGUCAAUAUAGUAAAGAGAUGGUCCUGUCUCUUUGUCGUAGCCUGCCAUAAGAAUGUUCACGAAAUAUGGAUUCUUGCGGAGAGCGGUAGCGAGUUCUCCACGAGUGAAAUUCGCAGCAGCCGCAGUCGUCAACGGAAUUCCGUUUCGAAACUGAUACAAAGCCACGUUCUUUUGUAUAUAUUCUGUGAACUGAACUCUGUCACCACUUUCGCCGCUGGCGCCAAGGAGCUUGUGGGAGUCGAGGACCAUGAUCUUAUCCUCAUUCGAUUUGUGAACCAAUAUGCUAUGAACCGCCGAAGUAUCGGCCACAACCAAAGCAAAUCCAUCUCCUACCAAUCCAAAUACGCACUCCAUUUCCUUCUCUCUCUUUAAAUCCCUACCUAUGGGAUGGGACACGCUCUACAAAAACCUUGUUAAGAAGAGCGAGCAUCUGCGAAAACUUUUAAAGAAGAGUGAAGACGCGACUUGACAAGCAAGAAAG